AUUGAACGCUGGCGGCAUGCUUUACACAUGCAAGUCGAACGGCAGCGCGGGCUUCGGCCUGGCGGCGAGUGGCGAACGGGUGAGUAAUGCAUCGGAACGUGCCCAGUAGUGGGGGAUAGCCCGGCGAAAGCCGGAUUAAUACCGCAUACGACCUGAGGGUGAAAGCGGGGGACCGAAAGGCCUCGCGCUAUUGGAGCGGCCGUUGUCGGAUUAGCUAGUUGGUGGGGUAAAGGCUUACCAAGGCGACGAUCCGUAGCUGGUCUGAGAGGACGACCAGCCACACUGGGACUGAGACACGGCCCAGACUCCUACGGGAGGCAGCAGUGGGGAAUUUUGGACAAUGGGGGCAACCCUGAUCCAGCCAUGCCGCGUGCGGGAAGAAGGCCUUCGGGUUGUAAACCGCUUUUGUUCGGGAAGAAAUCCUCUGGGCUAAUACCCCGGGGGGAUGACGGUACCGGAAGAAUAAGCACCGGCUAACUACGUG
rnacentral:rRNA from 1 species